GUUGUUCAGGUUCAAUUCUGCUUUAUGAGGCUAGUGAUAAUUACCAUAGUCAGCAGCUCUGGUAUCCACGGCUCAGUCACCAGCCUCACAUUAAUUAAGUGUAUCUCGUGGACGGAACUCCACGUAUUUUCUAAAAAUCGGUUCAUUUGACUGGUAAAUUGAAUACUUAACAAGCGUGAUUGACAGGGUGACGAAAUGACAGUCGGUGGUGAGUGUGACUGAGCAGGCUUGGAGCAUAUGAGCAAAUUCACUUAAUCCCAAGAAGGAAUCAACAACCCAACGAUGGCCAACACAGACGAAUCAGGAUAUGUUUCCGAGCCCACGCCGCGGCUCUGCUUCCUCCGGCGUGACGAGGGCGAGAGGUACGGGUUCAACCUGACCGUGGAGAGGGGCUCCCGGGGUCACCUGGUCCGGAAGCUGGCGUCGCGGGGGGCGGCGGAGCGCAGCGGCCUGCGGGACGGCGACCGGGUCCUGGAGGUCAACGGGUUCUUCGUGGACGACGUGUCUCAAGCCGUGAUGGCCAGGAGGAUCAGGAUCAGCGGAAACCAGCUGUGUGUGUUAGUGCUGGACCAGGAGGGCUACGAGAGGGCCCGGGCCCAGGGGGACCACCUCCUGCCAUUGGUGAAGUCACAUGAGAUGAAGGCCUGCAAGGCACCCAGGCUCUGCCAUGUGACCAGGAACCACUCUCACUCGGGCCUGGGAGUCAGCUUCAACCCCGUGGAAGGAGAGAAGGGCCACUUCUCGGUGGGCCUGGUGCAUGGGGGGGCCGCCGAGAAGGCAGGGCUGCGCCGGGGAGACCGCCUGGUGUGGAUGAACGGUGCGGCGGUGUCCGACCUCACGCACUCUGCCCUCACCAAGAUGGUGAAGAAAUGCGGCGAUCACAUCACCCUCCUGGUGGUGGACAGCGAGACUGAGAAGAAGUACGUCCAGCAGAAGUGGCCCAUCCUCCCGGCCAUGGCGGUUCCCUGUAACCUGCCCCACCGAGCCAGGAGCCUGGCCCUGGCCCUGGGGCCCCAUGGCUAUGGCUUCCUCCUGAAGGAGGGGAAAACCUCUUCAGGACGAACAGUUCAUGUGGUGCAGGAGGUGCAUGACGACAGCCCAGCACAGAGGGCAGGUAUGCAGGCGGGCGAGCUGCUUCUGGAGGUGGACUGGGAGUCGGUGGAGUCCCUAGCACACAAGGAUGUGGUGGAGCGAGUCAAACAGAGCAGUCCUCAGAUCACACUCACCAUCAUCUCCGCCCAGGGGCUGGACUUCUACAGCAAGCUUGGUUUAUCUCCGGUUCUUUUCUGUGGAGACGAAGCUGGUGGGGAAAAGCAGGAAAGGGACAGUCCUUUGCCUUCAGUAACAGAGGAGACCCCAGAGCAGGUUGUAGCUAGCCUGUGUGCUAGCCUAGAGGACUCUGUAGCUAGCCUGUCUGCUACCUCAGAGGAGGUUGUGGAUGGCCUGCCUGCUCAAAGACACUGUGUCAUUGAAAAAGGACCUCUGGGAUUCGGCCUUGACUUUGACUCUGUCCAACACACUUCUGGGACCGUUGUCAGCCAGGUGACUCCGGGGGGGCCUGGCCACAGAGCAGGACUGGCAGAAGGUGAGGUGGUCGUUGAGGUCAACGGACACAAUGUUGAGAGGAAAUACCUGGAAGAUGUGCUCAUGUUGGUGAAGGCAGGAGGGAAACAUCUCUCCCUGGUGGUUAAGAAUCAAAGUCACCACAGCAACGAUCAGGAUCAGACAUGCUCUGGAUUGGAAUCUCAUGACUCUGAGGAGGAAGCUGGAGAUUCAUUUCUUUGAGAGAUAUUCUACAGGCAUCAGUCAACGUGUAGGCCUACCCCUAAAACUACCCAAGGCACCAUUACUGUGUCAUAUAUAUUAUAAUGAAUCAAUGAUCAGACAAAUAUCUCAGACAAACUUUGAGUGAUCUCAAAUGUACAAAUAAAUUUAAAUGAGCA